UGAAUCAAUGAUGAGUAACCUGGGGUGUUUGAAUCAAGGACUUUGACUAAAUCCUGUAACUCUGAGAUCCAU
ensembl:snoRNA small nucleolar RNA, C/D box 113-9